CUUAAGUAAAAAUGGUUAGGAGCCAGAAUAUGUGAAUUAGAUAAUAUUUUAGUCUCCUUUGACCAUUCAGCUACAAGUGGUAAUUUGAGUUUGAUGUCUGGCAAUUUCGGCGUCAGGUUGUCCCACGCCAACUUUUAAAUUUCUCGGACACUGCUAAGAACAACAGUUAAACCAAAAGAAAAAUCAAAGGUACAUAAUUUGUCUUGUUGAAUAAAGUCUUUGGUAUUUUCGAAGUCGUUUCCUUUUUUCCAUUUUCUUAUCAUUUGAAACUCCAAUUUCUUAUCAUGUGAAACUGAUUGCAAUUUUGAGUUGCAAUGCUGCCAAUAGAGUUCAAAAGCACGGUUACGUUUUUUAUUUCGCCAAGUCGAUGAAAAUUUUAAAGAAAUGUUUAUUUAAGUAAUUAUUAAAACAAAUUUAGAAAGUUUCCAAACAAAAUCGAGUGGCUGAGCGGAUUUGGAAAGGUGUUAAGCACCACAAGUUCGAAAGAUACUAAAUUUAGAUUUAUCUGUGUGCGUGGCCAUGCAACAUGGGUAUCUAAUUCUUAUUGUGACCAGCCGGAUUUAUCUAGCGUCGAUGGACAAACCACCAUAAGAUUAGUCGGCCCGUGGAGUCCGGCAUGUCUCAGGUCAUCAGCUGGACCGAGUGUUAUUUCCAACUUUGGUGGUGUAUUUGAAACCGAUGGUUUAUAAGUUUCAAAAACUGGUUCGAGAUUUUGGUUUCUCAAAUUAAUUGCUGGAUUUGAUUGACAUAAAAACUGUGGUGGCCAAAAUAUUCUUAUCGGAAAGCGAAUCGUUUCGGAGUUUAAAUCAUUUCUUUCGGUUUAUGGGCUCUGAAGCGUGAACUCUUUAUCUUCCUUCCUCUCUCUCUCUCUCUCUCUUAUAUUUCAACAAUUUUGUUUUAUAUUAGGUAUUAUGUUCUUCAUAUUAUCUAGGUUCUACUUAGAUUUAACUUUUUGCCUUUUCCUUCUUGGUUUCUCAAAUUUUUUUUUUUUAAUUCUUUGCUCUGGAAUCGAUGGCCUCUCCUUUUGAUUAAUUUUUGGAUGAUCUUUUCGAUUUUGAUUCUUGAUAGUUCGUCUAACAAUGGUGACCUUUCAACUGCUCGUCGUUUCCCUGCAUGUGCUAGCAGGAGAUCUAGGAACAUUGUAGUUUAGGGUUCAUUUUUGAGCCGGACUCCAAUGUCAAUUCUAAGAGAGGAAACGCUGCUGUGAUUCCUACUGGGGGUUCCAGCGAGCAAACUUUGGUUAGUAUCUCCCAUCAUGUGUUAUAUGCUUAUAACUCUCCGAGCACGGAGGAGUCCGUCCGUGGUUUGAAGGAAACUCUAGGGAUUCCUCCAAAAAUUGUAUUUCUCAUGCCCUCUAGUUCUGAUGGUUCGUGGUUCGCAGAGCAAGCUAUUGUUAGAGAUGCCAGAUGGUUAUCUUCAAACUCUUUGUUGGUGAUAUCCGAACUGUAGUGGGUCUCCUAGUGUUUGCUGGUUAGCUUUGUUAAACUAUGUGUCCACAACUUCCCGAGGCCAGUUAACUCGGUUUCUAAUAAAGGAGGCAUGUACUCUCUCUCUCGGGUAAUCCUCAUAUUGUUAGGACUCCUCCCAGAAAGAUGAAGGACUGGGAAGAGAAUUACUUAUUUGUGAAGGUUGACGCACAUUCCAUUUCUGACGAUUUAACGUAGACCGUCAUGCGUGAUUGGAAUGAAAAUCCUGCCUAAAGAGAAGAUCGAUGGGAUGCAGCUCACACCAUUCUUCCAAUAGUUGAAGGCCAUCCAAGAGCUAAUUGGGAAACCAUUACUCCAGCUUGUAUCGAGUCAGUUAUGACAGCUCCAUCUACCGAUCUUUCUCUUUCUCUCGUGCUUUCUUCUCGACCUACUGCAAGGUAUCCAUGGGUAGCCAAUAGAUUGGCUGAGGUUUCCAAAAAGAGAUAAGUGAGAAGCAAAAAUUCAAACACUGCGGUGAGUAGAGUUGCUACCCUAUCCUCUACAUAGGGGAGGGCUUAGGCACCAAGCUUUCCGAGCAGUAGGGAGGUCGUCUAGACCUCUGAGGCUGAAGUUUCUCCCACUCAAUUGCUACCUUCUCCUUUGAUCCCUGACGUUUUUUUGGGAAGAGAAACUGAGGGCUUCUUUAAGGCGGCAAUCUUUGGUUGAUCCUUUGAGGUCAAAGAGCCUCUCCUAUUCAUCCGGACUUCCGAGUCUGAACCUGAGGAGUACUCGUUUCCCGAUCCUUGUAGGGACCUUGUUGUUUCGUCAAAGAGAACUAUAGUAACGAAGCCACUUCUGAUCAAAUCGAGGGAUUAUGCCAUAUCUUUUGAAUUUCUUGGUUAAAUUCCCCUUCCUAGCGUUGGGUCAUCAUGAUCUCAGGAGAUGUUCUCCGAGAAUGAGAUCAAUGAAGGAAUCAGUCAAACAAAUGAUUUGUUGAUUUUUGCCUCUUGACUUGUCUUCGUAUAUUAAAAUUCGAGGUUGAAUAUGAUUUUCUUUCAGUCCA